rnacentral:lncRNA from 1 species
AAUAUGCUUGCAUUCCAUCCAAGUCGCACAUGCUUCCUAAUUGAACUUGUCCGUGUACUUGAGGGACUUCAUGAGACUUUUGCUGUCAGAUUCCACAGAAGCCACACCCAGCUGCUUCUCUUUUAUGUACUUCAAAGCUUUGAGCACUACUAGGGUUUCUAGUUGAAAGACCGAUGCUGCCCAAACUAGUUUGGUGAAGCCAUCCACAAGGUUGCUGAAGGAGUCCCGGAUGAUGCAGGCGACAGCUCCUUCCGUCGAACCUUUGCAGAUCGACCCAUCGACAUUGAGCUUCAAAGAUCCUGCUACCAGAGCUAUCCAGGUUGGAGAUGUCUCAACAUCCUCUUCCUUUCCUGGUUGAAGAUGCAUAAAACCCCAUUUUUUGUAGCUAUUUUGCAGAAAUUCGGCCAGAUCUACCACUUUGCAAGCAUCCGGUUUAGUACCUCGAAAGAUGUAGUUGUUGCGCUCCUUCCAUACCUGCCAUAAGAUGUUCACGAUCGUUUCCAAGGAUGGGAGGUUAAUGUUUUUCCUUAUAAAUCGCACCAAUCACUCAUCAAUUCAUGUAACCUCAUGUGCAUUCACUUGUAGGUUGAUUUCCGAGUGACUCCAUACCUGUGCAGUCCAGGGACAGAGAAGAUGAAUAUGUUCGGCCGUUUCCAUCUUAUCUCGCAAAGGUCACAUACCAAAUUAGGUAAAAUCUUUCUUUUCCAUGGGUUCUCCUUGGAUUGGAUGGCGUUUUGACAAACAUUCCAGAUAAAAAUUUUCACUUUAGGGUUGGUCCGCAUCUUCCAUAGAGCAUUCCAUAGUUCUCGCGGUGUUUGGUAAGAAAAAGAGGGAUGUUCCAUUGCAAUGUUGGUUGUCGCUUUGUCUCUUACCAUGUUAUAGCCAUUUUUUACUGUAAAAGACCCAUCCUUUGUUCCUGUCCAUCUCAGUUCAUCCUUUGUAAUUUGACGAUUGAUUGGGAUUGCAAGGAUCUCCUUAGUGGUUUGUUCAUUAAAGAGGUUAUUCAACAGUGGUUCAUUCCAUUGUUUUGCUUCAUAAUUCAUCAACUCAGAAACUUGUUCUAGAUCAUUUUGUUUGCUGGCCCUCCAAUUAAUCCUCUCUUUAGCCAUUUAUUUGUUCUGAUGUUGACAUUGAUCAUCUCAUUGAAUCCACUAUGGCCUCCCUUCCUAAAAGUAAACUUUGCCAUCUCCAUGAAGGCUUAGUUCCUUUAUCAGCAUGCCAAAAAUCUUUUCGACAGAAAUACAGCCAUUUUAAUAAAUUACUCCACAAUGCAUCCGAAUUUUUUACCAUCCUCCAAACUUGUUUACCCAGAAGGGCAUUGUUAACAAUAAGUAGGUCUCUAAAAUCCAUUCCUCCCAUGUCUUUCCUAAAUUUCAUGAUUUCCCAUCUCUUCCAAUACAUACCAGCUUUUGUUUCACUGUUUUUCCACUAGAAAUUAGCUAUUUUCUUCUCUAUAGUCUUACAAAUUGAAACUAAAAUUUUGAAAACUGACAUGGCAUAUUGAGGUAUCGCUUGCACCAGUGAUUUCAGGAGAAUUUCCUUGCUUGCUUUAGAUAUAAUUUGUUCAUUCUAGCCUUCCAAUUUCAUGUUUACCCUAUUUAAAAUCCAUACAAACAUCUGUCUUUUUGAUGCUCUCCAGUCAAAAGGGAUUCAUAGGUAUUUCACUAUCCAAUCUAGCUCUGGAACCCUCAACUCUCUUGUCAUGUUAUCCCUUAAAAGUUGGGGACAUUAUUUACUAAAAAAGAUACCUGACUUGAAUUACCUUCACCAAAAAAAAAAGAAAAAGAUACCUGACUUGUUUAGGUUUACAGCUUGUCCUGAGGCAUAACAAUACUGAUUUAGAACAGUUGCAACAUUUUGACAUUCUUGUAUGGAUCCAUCCAAAAAGAAUAUUGAAUCAUCUGCAAAUAAUAAAUGAGUCAAAGCGGGGCAGCACCUAUUCAACUUUAUUCCCUUUAUACUCCCAUCCUAUAGAGUUUUACCCAUCAAAGAAGACAAGCUGUUAGCCAAUGAAAAGAUAGGGUGAUAAUGGGUUCCCUUGUCUAAUGCCUUUGGAAUGAUUGAAGAAAGGAAGGAGUUCUCCAUUAAAUUUAAUAUUGAAAGUAACUAUAGUAACACAUUGCAUGAUCCAGUUUACCCAUUUUGCAUAGAAACCCAUUUUCAACAAGCAACCUUCUAGAAAAUCCCAUUAUAUUCUAUCAUUUUCCUCAUUCUCAAUUGGUGUAGCACCUCCUGCACAAUAUAAAUGUUAUCUUGAAUCUGUCUUUCACUGACAAAUGCACUUUGUUCCCCUGAAAUUAGCAUUGGCAGCCAUCUUUUCAGUCUGUUUGCCAAAUCUUUUGAUAUUAUCUUAUAUGCAAAAUUGCAAAGGCUAAUAGGGUGAUAUUAGUCAAGUCUUUCUGGAUGUGGUAUCUUUGGAAUUAGAAUAAUAUGAGUUAUGUUUAAGGUUGGUUCUAAUACUCCUGAAUGAAAAAAGCCCUUAACUUCCUCAAAAACAUCAUUAUUUAUUAUAUCCCAAUGGUGUUGAUAAAAAAUUCCAUUUAAACCAUCUAGAUCAUGAGCUUUUUGUGCACCAAGUUGAAAAAUAACAUCAUGAAUUUCUUCCAAGGUUUCUUUCAUCACCAAACAUUCAUUAAUAUCAUUUUCAAUUAGUAUUGGGCAUUGAUCCAGUACUGGUUGGUAGUUUCUAGGCCUUACCAUAGUAUAUAGCUCUUUGAAAAAGGAGAUGGUGAGGUGCUGAAGUUGCUGUUUGUCCCAUAUCCACUGCUUCGAUGAAUUUUUCACCAUAGUAAUUCCGUUUUUUUUUUUUUUUGUCUCUUUUGAAUAGUUGCUACAUAAAAAUAUUCCGUGUUUUUAUCUCCCCAUCGUAGCAAAUUCAUUCGGGAUCUUAACUCCCAAAACAUCUCCUCUUCUCCAUAAAGUUUCAAUUUAUUCUUUUACGAGCUUCAUCCUAUUAGAUCUUGGAUUCAAGCUUGCACUGUUUGUUAAGAAUUGAAGCUCUUGCUUUAGAGCUGUUAUGCGAAGAUGACUAUUUGUGAACUUCCUUUUACUCCAUUCUUUCAAAGCAUGACUUACAACCUGUAAUUUACCUCUCAAGCCUACUUCAAAACGAUUUUGAGAUUGACAUGCUUGUUUAACUACUUCUCUGCAUUCUCCAUCUUCAGUCCAGAAGGCCUCAAAGUGAAAAUCUCUUCUUUUCUUUACAGAUUCAGCACUACUCACCAAUAGGAGAGAACUAUGGUUUGACCCGACAGUUGGGAGGGCAUACGCUUAUGCUUCCGAGAGCAUGAGCCUCCAAUCUAGAGAGUAAAACACCAUAUCCAGUUUCUCCUUUACCAUAUUAGCCCCUUCUCUGUUGUUUGACCAGGUAAAAGCACACCAUUUACAAUCUAUUUCCAUUAACAAACAAGCAUGUAUAUAGCUUUGGAAUGCCUACAUUCUAUAAUGUUUUGCCAUCCUUGUGCCCACCUUAUCCCAAUAAUAAAGCACUUUAUUGAAAUCCCCCAAACAAACCCAUGGUAGGCUAUUAGUUAGAUUAAUCUAUCUCAUUUUAUCCUGUAACUAUAAUCUUCCCCCAGAUAGAUUUGGAGCAUGCACACAAAUAACCCACAUUUUGAUUCGACUAUCAUGAUCUUCACAUAUCAAAUUUAUCAUUUCUUGUGAACUAGAUUCCACCUCUACAUCAACUUCAUCAUUCCAUAUCACCGCUAGCCCCCCUACAAUUCCUAUCGGAUUCACCACAAAGCUGUAUUUAAAAUUCAACUGCCUUCUAAUAUGAGAAAUCACAUUUUCUUUGUUUUUUGUUUCCAUUAACAGAACCAAAUCGGGCCUUUCAUGAGCCACAAUGGCUCUCAAAUUUUGGACUAUCAAUGGUGUGCCUAACCCCUAACAGUUCCAAUAUAUAACCCUCAUUUGUAAACCGGUGGCUUAUUCGGGCUAGCCACCAAAGCUCAUCACAUAGUUCCCUCUAAAAGACUAAUAGGAGUAUCCUGCAGUUUUGCUUCAUCAAAGUCCACCAACUCUAGAGGAAUAGAGUUAUAUGGGGUGUACCUAUUUAAUUUCUUUGCUUGUGAACUUUUUAAAAUCCUGCUUUCCUUCUUUGAUCCUUCUUUUUAUUUUUUUGUCCAGGACAAUGAUUUAUCAGCCGGCAGAAGCUGUUGUUUUGGCUCUUCAAUGUUCAUUAUACCUUUUCCCUUUUCCUUGUGUUGUUUCACUUGGUGAUCAGGUAUAAUAAUAUCCACUUAUGCCCUGUUUUGUGGUUGAGGUGUUGCUCUGGAUUUUGUUGUUGUUUGCUCACCAGUGAAAAUGACUAUUUGAGUUCUUU